CGGCCCAGAUUCCUACGGGAGGCAGCAGUGGGAAUAUGGACAAUGGGCGAAAGCCUGAUCCAGCAAUACCGAGUGAGUGAUGAAGGCCUUAGGGUUGUAAAGCUCUUUUAGCAAGGAAGAUAAUGACGUUACUUGCAGAAAAAGCCCCGGCUAACUCCGUGCCAGCAGCCGCGGUAAGACGGAGGGGGCUAGCGUUGUUCGGAAUUACUGGGCGUAAAGAGUGCGUAGGCGGUUUAGUAAGUUGGAAGUGAAAGCCCGGGGCUUAACCUCGGAAUUGCUUUCAAAACUACUAAUCUAGAGUGUAGUAGGGGAUGAUGGAAUUCCUAGUGUAGAGGUGAAAUUCUUAGAUAUUAGGAGGAACACCGGUGGCGAAGGCGAUCAUCUGGGCUACAACUGACGCUGAUGCACGAAAGCGUGGGGAGCAAACAGGAUUAGAUACCCUGGUAGUCCACGCCGUAAACGAUGAGUGCUAGAUAUCGGAAGAUUUUCUUUCGGUUUCGCAGCUAACGCAUUAAGCACUCCGCCUGGGGAGUACGGUCGCAAGAUUAAAACUCAAAGGAAUUGACGGGGGCUCGCACAAGCGGUGGAGCAUGCGGUUUAAUUCGAUGUUACGCGAAAAACCUUACCAACCCUUGACAUGGUGGUCGCGGAUCGCAGAGAUGCUUUUCUUCAGCUCGGCUGGAUCACACACAGGUGUUGCACGGCUGUCGUCAGCUCGUGUCGUGAGAUGUUGGGUUAAGUCCCGCAACGAGCGCAACCCUCAUUCUUAUUUGCCAGCGGGUAAUGCCGGGAACUAUAAGAAAACUGCCGGUGAUAAGCCGGAGGAAGGUGGGGAUCACGUCUAGUCAUCAUGAUCCUGGCUCCAGGACGAACCACGUUGCCGGUGAAGCAACAGUGCGCAUAGCGAACACUGGUUGUGCGAGACGCGGCUUUACAGUUGCUUUGGCAGCAUGUGCGAAUGGAGACAAGCUACCAGCGUUUGUGAUUUUAAAGGAACCGAGCGGCAAGAUACCAGCGAAGGCAUUCAUGAAACUUCGCAUUCCAGGUAAGUGUCAAACAAAUUACGUGUUUGUUUAUUAUGGCUUUCAAAUCAAUACAUUUGUUUACAACUAGCAUUGUGCAUGUUCUCCUCGUGCUUGUCUACCUCCAGCAAAAAAAAAGA
rnacentral:rRNA from 1 species